AGUGAACGCUGGCGGUAGGCCUAACACAUGCAAGUCGAACGGCAGCACAGUAAGAGCUUGCUCUUACGGGUGGCGAGAGGCGGACGGGUGAGGAAUAUAUCGGAAUCUACUUUUUCGUGGGGGAUAACGUAGGGAAACUUACGCUAAUAUCGCAUACGACCUACGGGUGAAAGCAGGGGAUCUUCGGACCUUGCGCGAUUGAAUGAGCCGAUGUCGGAUUAGCUAGUUGGCGGGGUAAAGGCCCACCAAGGCGACGAUCCGUAGCUGGUCUGAGAGGAUGAUCGGCCACAUUGGAAGUGGGACAGGCUCCUUACUCCUACGAUAGGCAGCAGUGUGGAAUGUUGGACAAUGGUCGCAAGCCUUGUCCAGCCAGCCCGCGUGUGUUAAAAAGGCCUUCCGUUUGUAAAGCCCUUUUGUUGGGAAAGAAAAGCUUCAGGUUAUUACGCCGCUUUUCUGACGGUACCCAAUGAAUAAGCACCGGCUAACUUCGUG
rnacentral:rRNA from 1 species